rnacentral:rRNA from 1 species
GACGAACGCUGGCGGCGUGCCUAAUACAUGCAAGUAGAACGCUGAAGGAGGAGCUUGCUUCUCUGGAUGAGUUGCGAACGGGUGAGUAACGCGUAGGUAACCUGCCUGGUAGCGGGGGAUAACUAUUGGAAACGAUAGCUAAUACCGCAUAACAGUAGAUAUCGCAUGAUAUCUACUUGAAAGGUGCAAUUGCAUCACUACCAGAUGGACCUGCGUUGUAUUAGCUAGUUGGUGAGGUAACGGCUCACCAAGGCGACGAUACAUAGCCGACCUGAGAGGGGGAUCGGCCACACUGGGACUGGGACACGGCCCAGACUCCUACGGGAGGCAGCAGUAGGGAAUCUUCGGCAAUGGACGGAAGUCUGACCGAGCAACGCCGCGUGAGUGAAGAAGGUUUUCGGAUCGUAAAGCUCUGUUGUAAGAGAAGAACGAGUGUGAGAGUGGAAAGUUCACACUGUGACGGUAUCUUACCAGAAAGGGACGGCUAACUACGUG